GCUAACUUGCUUGCUCGUUAUCUUACCUGUGCUUGCUGUCUAGUGUUGGCGUGGCUUAGCCAGCUGACUAGGUUCUGUCUUAGUUUCAACGUACCCUCUGGCUGGCAUCUAGGACGUAGGCUAGAAUUUUGACCAGCGGGUUUUAGACUUAAUUGUACUGAACGUCACCCCUGCUUUUGCUAGGCUUUUGUGUUGAGGAUUGGGAAAUGAUCUGCUCACCAAAAGAGAGAGUAACCAAAGCUCUGUUAGGCUUAAGGGGACCAGAGUUCCCUGAAACGAUGUGUAGAAGACCUUUGAUGUAAACUGGACAGGAGGAUGCUCAAGGUAUUGCAUGGCUUGUGAAAUAAUACCCUUUCUAGCUACAAGUGGUUCCUGUGAAAUAAAGCACUUUAUUACCUCAAGAAGAUACUCAAUUGAAAAGAGUUGUGAAGAGUUUUGCAGACUUGCUUGAUGUCUUAGCUAAAGUCCAGUAGUGGUACACCUCAGGACAAAGGGGUCUGUGAGGUUUAUUUCAUACUUUGGCUCCUCUUGGAGGUAAGUAGGAUGUAUUUUCUCAGGUUAUUGUCUCAUAAUAACUACACAGGUAUUGUAUUUGCCCCAGGAGACACUCGAGUGGGGGAGGGAGGAUGUCGUGAGAUGUUCUGUGAUGCAUUUACUUCACCUGAACGUUGCAGCCUUUCAAGAUCUGCUGGUAUUACAGCAAUGUGUACCAUUCUUCUCUGGCUUUAUAUGCGGCUCUCUCCAGCUAAAGAGUCAGAACCAAUUGCUUGCCGUCCUGUAAAAAGUCCAAUGUCCUGUGAGUGCUUCUCCUCGUGUCCCAUUUUGCUAUAUUCAUGACUGAAAAAAAAGAGGAGGUGAAGUGCUCUGUUGCUGCUGUACCUUUCAUUAAUAGUUCCGUACGUCUGAAGAAUUCUGGAUUACAAGUACAGCCCCUCCUUUUCUACUUCCGUUUCUUCUCUAUGUGAAUACCUUUAGAUAGGUGAACUGUGAGUGAAAUAAAGGGGCAGUGGCAUGAUGACUUCACAGUUACAACAGUUGUCCACAGUAGAUUUUAGCCCUGUGCUUUUAUCUGUGCAGCUGAUACCUGGUACCGAUGAUUCCCUGAUGUCUCAGCAAAGAGUUACUAUAGCAUAUCAAAAUGUAGGAAAAAGGAAAUUACUUCAGAAACUACCCAAGUGAAUGCCUGAUGCAAGAGACAAGUAAAACAGUUUUCUCUGUGUGUGUAGUUCACUUCAAUCAGCUUGGUAGUGUCUGAUACUUGUCAGUGUAUGGAUUUUACUCAUUGUUGACAACUUGUUAGAAAUGUUAAUGAUGAAACCUAUUUUGUAUGUGUCAAACUCAGAUAGUCUGUUCACCUGAAAGCACUAAUGCACAAGUCUCUCCUGACCCAACAGAUCUUCGUUGCAAGACCCACAAGAAGCUUACAGUCCUAUUGCAGAAAUAAGGGUUUUGUUGGCUUUUCAUAUGAAAAUAUACAAGGUGAUGGUAGAAUUGGAAGCCUGCUUUCGGCUUUUCCUAAACACGCGGGUAUGCUCUACUUUAAUGCUGUUUAUGGAAACUCACUCUGGUGUGUGUCUGGUCCUCAGCCUAUGAAGCUGAUAUGUUUGUCUGUACUUGCACUACUAUGCUGACAUCCUACACUGCAAAAGCUAUGAGUUUUCUUUGCUAGUGAUCACUUUGAAGUGAUUUUCAUCCCUAUGGACUCAGGUAAGCAACCACCCAGUUUCCUGAAGACCAGGAGAAAGAGUUGAAAGAUCCUGCAGGAGGUGUGAGGAAGGUGCAGAUAAGUAGGAAUGUGUGGUGACUUGAAGAAGAAUUUGCUUAAUCAAAGUUUAGGUUAAUAUGUAGAAACCUGUCUUUGUGUCUCAGCUUUCAUUCUGACAAGUUUCCUCUUAAUGAAAACAUCCAAGGUUUUGGAUGCUCUAAAUUGAGCAGUCAGUGGGUACUGUACUAAGCCAGCUGUGCAGUCUGCAUGAGAUAGAGAUGAAGUGUACAAACAGAUUAUAAUGUAAUUUUUAUAAGGUGUCUGGUGUUAUAAUACCACACUGUCAACAUCCAUGGCAGCACAGCACAGAGAACUGGCAGUAUCUUGGGGUUGUCUUGGUUCUUGCAAACUCACUGUCAGACCUAACCUAAUCCCUGGUAUGCACAUUGGCAUUAGUGGAAUGUAGUUUGUAAGGAUGAUUGAUAGCAUCUAUGCCACUCCUGGCGUGUGAGUUUUGUUUUAAAAUCCAAUUUUCUUAAGUAUGCCAGCUAUAAAACUUGGUUGUCUACGGUCCCAGCUGCUUAUUUCAAAGCCUGUGGUGGAAGGGUGUUAACUCUUUACUGCUCAGAUGAUGGAGGAUGAAGAAGCUGCAAUGAAAGUUGGUUGGUUGGUUGCAAUUGUCUCCCAUGGAGUUAUUUCACAAAAAUAGCUGGAUCUGCAAGCUGAAAAGCGAGAGGGUGAAUUUAACUUCGUAGAAUAGGUAAGUACUUCUAUAUCGUGUUACUGUUUCCAGGUAUCUUAAUCAUAGCGCAGAAUACAUUGUGUUGUCUUUGUUCUUUGACAGGGAGAGCUUUGAAAACCAGGAAAGACUGAAAGGCUUCUAUUUCUUUUUUAAGUGUUCUAAAUGAAAUUGUGGGGAGGAAGUAUCUGGAAGAGCCGCAUAGCAAAAGGAGUUUGUAAAGCUGCUCUGGAAAUAAUUCUAGUGACUAAUUAUGAAGUGUUACUUUUUUUUUUUUUUUUGUCUUUCAGCACAAGAAGAGUGCUCUAAGAGCAGUCAAGAACCUUUUCAGUUAGCAUGAACAUGUUCUUCAACCAAGACAUGGCAGCAGUUCAAUAGCAGUUACACAACAGGAAAGGGUGUGCAGGCUGCUGCAAGUCCCUGGGUUCAUAAGAUCUGGUAUCUGAAAGAACUCGCUAGAGAGAAGUCAUGGAAAAACCCACAUUCUUCUAUCUUGAGUUGAAAAGAGAGCUAAUAGUGAAACUGGAAAUCAAUUUCAUUGUAGAUACUGGAGAUGAUCAUCACAACGUGCAGGAAUUAAAAGUGUUAGGACACUGAAAAACUGCAGGUAGUACAGGAGACUCCAAGACUCCAGUUGUGCGAAGUUCCCUUUUGGGAACUUCAGGAGGGGGGGAAACUUGCUAAACGCAAGGAGACUCAAAACAUUCUCUGGCUGUUCUUAGCUGCACAUGAAUAUAUCUCUUAAGGUGGGAUGGUGUGACAUGACCACUGAAGACCAUAGGGCUGUAAGCAGACCACAUUUCUCUUAAGAGCAUAUGUGCCGCUACCCAGUUCAGAAGCACCCCAACAGCUUCAGGUUUUGUCACAUAAUAGUAUUUCCUGGGACAGUAGCUUUUCUUAGUCCACCUCCUGCAAAGCCAGCUGGCUGAUGGCAGCACUGCGGUGAAGAUGAGCCUUCCCCACCCACAAGUUGCUGCAGACUUGCACAGAAAAUGACUCAGGCUCCAGAGCUGAGCAUAAAUCCUUCAGCUGCCACUGUUGUAGUUUUAAUAUACACAAUGGGUGCCCUGAGUGCUUCCAUGUGGAACAAGAAACAUUCAGGCUGCGUGUUUAGAUAUACUUUGUGUGUGCACUGCCCUCUGCAGCACAAAGCUUGAUCAAGCCCUGGUAUUGCAUAAAACAAGUGGAGGUACCGUGCUGAAGUUGUGCUUGGAGUGGACUUCACUCAGUUGCCACUGAUCAUGGAAAGGUCUAUUUUUGUUGUGUAGUGGUAAACCUGAGUUGGUAAGUGAUACUGCUCAGCUGAUGUGUGUGUCUGUGCCAGGUGAGCAGUCCAUGACCUGACAAAUCAUUGACCGUGGUACUAGCUCCGACUCCUUUCAAAAUAAUAAAAAGGGGACGGAGGGGAGAGGCAGCAGAGGAUUUUUUAAGGGUCACAUAAGUUCUACUGAAAUUAGAAGCGCACUCAAAAUACCUUAGUGAAAACAAUACAUUUUAGGAAAUGAUGACUCCUAUGGCGAGAGCAAUGUGAGCCUUUAGUUAUGGCAAGCUUCCAAUACUGUUCCUUGUCCCUAUUUUUGUGAGGGUGUGGGUGAAAAGUGUUAGACACAGGGAGAGUGAUAGCCAUAACCAGAGGUUAAAAUUUAAUUUUGGCAAAUAUAGCUUUAUUUCAAGUGAUGCACCAUUUUUUUCUUAUAAAGUCCUGCAAAUAAAUUGUAGGCUGGAGUCUCUGAUUAUGCAUGCAAGUGUUCUCAGGUUCUCCAGCUUUUUCGGUGCAGUGGUGCAAAAUUUCAUUUUGGCUCCUAUAUGAUUCAGCUUAAAAUACUAGCUUGUACAGGUGAGUACCUAAACAACAGUACUGCAGUCAGAGCACUCCUUAGUGCACACAAGCCAUUUCCUUUGGGUAAGUGAACAAGCACACAGCUCCUGGGACAGCAGGAUUUGAUAGAAUACCAGAUAGAUGCCAGAAUUCCCUGGGUUUAUACUCUUCUUUGGUCUUUUUACCCAAACUUUUAGCUUUUCUAUUCAUUGUCACUAGUUGGCUCUUUUCUACCACCUCUUUAUUUCUGGGUUGGGGUUUUUUUUGCCAUUUCUUUUGCAAGUGCCUCUUCCUG